rnacentral:tRNA from 1 species
GUCGGGAUAGCUCAGUCGGUAG